ACGAACGCUGGCGGCGUGCUUAACACAUGCAAGUCGAACGGAAAGGCCCUGCUUUUGUGGGGUGCUCGAGUGGCGAACGGGUGAGUAACACGUGAGUAACCUGCCCUUGACUUUGGGAUAACUUCAGGAAACUGGGGCUAAUACCGGAUAGGAGCUCCUGCUGCAUGGUGGGGGUUGGAAAGUUUCGGCGGUUGGGGAUGGACUCGCGGCUUAUCAGCUUGUUGGUGGGGUAGUGGCUUACCAAGGCUUUGACGGGUAGCCGGCCUGAGAGGGUGACCGGCCACAUUGGGACUGAGAUACGGCCCAGACUCCUACGGGAGGCAGCAGUGGGGAAUAUUGCACAAUGGGCGGAAGCCUGAUGCAGCAACGCCGCGUGCGGGAUGACGGCCUUCGGGUUGUAAACCGCUUUCGCCUGUGACGAAGCGUGAGUGACGGUAAUGGGUAAAGAAACACCGGCGAACUACGU
rnacentral:rRNA from 1 species